AUGUGCUACCCCUGAUAGCAGACUACUCCGAUCCGGAUCCGUUUUACCUCCGGCAGAUCCGCGCUACAGUCAGGUCUGUUUAGUGGAUCUGGUCCGGCUUCACUCCGGGUUCGGGUUAUGAUUGUGACUCACGUUCAGAUCCGUUUUACUGACGGUAAAUCCGCAUAACAGUCCGUCUCAUUUCACGCCUUCCAUAUGACUUCGGCACGGAGUCAGAUACUAGAUGUGAGUUCAGUGUCGUUUUGCGGAUCCGGGCCGCAUCGGCGGAGCGGCACAGGAGCGGGAGAAAUUCAAACUCAGCGCGAGGACCAACUGACAUCUGCUGAAUCUGCGCUUCAGGUGUAAUCAUUUACCCAUCAAAUCACCUAACAAGGAUCAGCCUGGAUCCUAACAGUACUUGAUGCACUGAGCAGUGACAUUAUACAUAGAGUAGUUAAGCAGGAUUUGGUAUCCGCAAAAUGGUUCGAGGUCCUCAGCCCUCGCCUCCCCCAGCACAGAGGAAAACUACCAAGGGCGGUACUCUCAUUAUAGGAGAUUCAAUUGUUAGACAUUUAAAAGUAUCUAAGAGUAAUGGCACAAUUUCAUGUCUUCCAGAUGCUUGCAUGCUGGUAGUCGGCAAGCGGCUCCCUGGGGCGCAUUGCCAAAGCAGGAACCCCGGCACCAUCGCCCUCCACGUGGGGAUGAGCUUUCGGGAGCGACCGGCCCCGUUCCACAGAGACAGGCUUCUCUCUGUGAACAUCGAGGCGGUGCUACGCUGAGACUGACUGUCUCUACCCAGUCACACCAGCCAAGUAGGCUGCACUGUAGUGGUGUUAAGUGUCCAAGAAUGCUCUCAUCAGUGGAGGCACAGCUGGCUGCAAAAAACGUCUGUGUCUGCAUGUUUAUAUUAUGUGAAUUAAAAAUGGUUUUAUUAUUAAAAUAAUUGUAUUAAUGCCUGUUGAUUUAUAAAUUGUUUAAUUGAAAUCAAAUUUUAUUUAAGUAGCUUAAUUAAGUAUUGCAUUUAUAACUGAUGGUAUUUUAUUUAAUUAGCUUAAGUAUUGCAUUUAUAAGUGAUGGUAUUUUAUUUUAA